AACGAACGCUGGCGGCAUGCCUAACACAUGUAAGUCGAACGAGACCUUCGGGUCUAGUGGCGCACGGGUGCGUAACGCGUGGGAACCUGCCCUUAGGUUCGGAAUAACUCCCCGAAAGGGGUGCUAAUACCGGAUAAUGUCUUCGGACCAAAGAUUUAUCGCCUUUGGAUGGGCCCGCGUUGGAUUAGCUAGUUGGUAGGGUAAAAGCCUACCAAGGCGACGAUCCAUAGCUGGUCUGAGAGGAUGAUCAGCCACACUGGGACUGAGACACAGCCCAGACUCCUACGGGAGGCAGCAGUGGGGAAUAUUGGACGAUGGGCGAAAGCCUGAUCCAGCAAUGCCGCGUGAGUGAUGAAGGCCUUAGGGUUGUAAAGCUCUUUUACCCGGGAUGAUAAUGACAGUACCGGGAGAAUAAGCUCCGGCUAACUCCGUG
rnacentral:rRNA from 1 species